GCCGAUGGAGGGGGAUAACUACUGGAAACGGUAGCUAAUACCGCAUAACGUCGCAAGACCAAAGAGGGGGACCUUCGGGCCUCUUGCCAUCGGAUGUGCCCAGAUGGGAUUAGCUAGUAGGUGGGGUAACGGCUCACCUAGGCGACGAUCCCUAGCUGGUCUGAGAGGAUGACCAGCCACACUGGAACUGAGACACGGUCCAG
rnacentral:rRNA from 1 species